GUCGGGGAGAACACCCGGAAAAGGGGGCUAAUACAGGAUAAGUCGAAAGAUGAAAGGUUUAUUGCCUCAAGAGGAGCUCGCGUCUGAUUAGCUUGUAGGUGUGAUAAAAGCGCACCUAGGCGACGAUCAGUAGCUGGUUUGAGAGGAUGAGCAGCCACACUGGGAGUGAGACACGGCCCAGACUCCUUCGGGGGGGAGCAGUGGGGGAUUUUUUUCAAUGGGCGAAAGCCUGACGGAGCAAGACCGCGUGGGGGGGGAAGGCCUCUGGGUUGUAAACCCCCCUUUUUAGGGAAGAAGACAGUGACGGUACCUAACGAAUCAGCCUCGGCUAACUCCCUCCCAGCAGCCGCGGUAAUACGGAGGAGGCGAGCGUUAUCCGGAAUUAUUGGGCGUAAAGCGUCCGUAGGUGGCCCGCCAAGUCUGCUGUCAAAGACCACAGCUCAACUGUGGAAAGGCAGUGGAAACUGCAAGGCUAGAGUGCGGUAGGGGGGGAGGGAAUUCCCAGUGUAGCGGUGAACUGCGUAGAGAUUGGGAAGAACACCGGUGGCGAAAGCGCUCUACUGGGCCGCAACUGACACUGAUGACCGAAAGAAUGGGAG
rnacentral:rRNA from 1 species